UACGUAGGGGGCAAGCGUUGUCCGGAUUUAUUGGGCGUAAAGAGCGUGUAGGCGGCUUUACAGGUCCGUUGUGAAAACUCGAGGCUCAACCUCGAGACGCCGGUGGAAACCGUAAAGCUAGAGUCCGGAAGAGGAGAGUGGGAUUCCUGGUGUAGCGGUGAAAUGCGCAGAUAUCAGGAAGAACACCCGUGGCGAAGGCGGCUCUCUGGGACGGUACUGACGCUGAGACGCGAAAGCGUGGGGAGCGAACAGG
rnacentral:rRNA from 1 species